CCUACGGGCGGCAGCAGUGAGGAAUAUUGGUCAAUGGACGAGAGUCUGAACCAGCCAAGUAGCGUGAAGGAUGACUGCCCUAUGGGUUGUAAACUUCUUUUAUAUGGGAAUAAAAUGUUCCACGUGUGGGAUUUUGUAUGUACCAUAUGAAUAAGGAUCGGCUAACUCCGUGCCAGCAGCCGCGGUAAUACGGAGGAUCCGAGCGUUAUCCGGAUUUAUUGGGUUUAAAGGGAGAGUAGGUGGAUUGUUAAGUCAGUUGUGAAAGUUUGCGGCUCAACCGUAAAAUUGCAGUUGAAACUGGCAGUCUUGAGUACAGUAGAGGUGGGCGGAAUUCGUGGUGUAGCGGUGAAAUGCUUAGAGAUCACGAAGAACUCCGAUUGCGAAGGCAGUUCACUGGACUGCAACUGACACUGAGGCUCGAAAGUGUGGGUAUCAAACAGGAUUAGAUACCCGUGUAGUC
rnacentral:rRNA from 1 species